CCCGCUGAACUUAAGCAUAUCAAUAAGCGGAGGAAAAGAAACCAACAGGGAUUGCCCUAGUAACGGCGAGUGAAGCGGCAACAGCUCAAAUUUGAAAUCUGGCCUUCGGGUCCGAAUUGUAAUUUGUAGAGGAUGCUUUUGGCGCGGUGCCUUCCGAGUUCCCUGGAACGGGACGCCUUAGAGGGUGAGAGCCCCGUACGGUUGGACACCAAGCCUCUGCAAAGCUCCUUCGACGAGUCGAGUAGUUUGGGAAUGCUGCUCUAAAUGGGAGGUAAAUUUCUUCUAAAGCUAAAUAUUGGCCAGAGACCGAUAGCGCACAAGUAGAGUGAUCGAAAGAUGAAAAGCACUUUGAAAAGAGGGUUAAAUAGCACGUGAAAUUGUUGAAAGGGAAGCGUUUGCGACCAGACCUUUUCCUAGCGGAUCAUCCGGUGUUCUCACCGGUGCACUUCGCUAGGUUGAGGCCAGCAUCGGUUUCUGUAGGGGGAUAAAAGCUUGGGGAAUGUAGCUCCUUCGGGAGUGUUAUAGCCCCUUGCAUAAUACCCUUACGGGGACCGAGGACCGCGCUUCGGCAAGGAUGCUGGCAUAAUGGUCGUCAACGACCCGUCUUGAAACACGG
rnacentral:rRNA from 1 species